GUUGGUAAUAAGUAGCUUAUUGGU
rnacentral:siRNA from 1 species